CAGUAGCCACGGUAAUACGUAGGUCCCGAGCGUUGUCCGGAUUUAUUGGGCGUAAAGCGAGCGCAGGCGGUUAGAUAAGUCUGAAGUUAAAGGCUGUGGCUUAACCAUAGUACGCUUUGGAAACUGUUUAACUUGAGUGCAAGAGGGGGGAGUGGAAUUCCAUGUGUAGCGGUGAAAUGCGUAGAUAUAUGGAGGAACACCGGUGGCGAAAGCGGCUCUCUGGCUUGUAACUGACGCUGAGGCUCGAAAGCGUGGGGAGCAAACAGGAUUAGAUACCCCCGUAGUCCCUGUCUCUUAUACA
rnacentral:rRNA from 1 species